GUGCUCCUUUUGGCAGCACCAAUACUAAAAUUGGAGUGAUACAGAGAAGAUUAGCAUGGUCCCUGUGAGAGGAUGACAUGCAAAUCCUUAAAGCUUUCCAUAUUUUU
rnacentral:snRNA from 1 species